CUGCCAGACUCCUACGGGAGGCAGCAGUGGGGAAUAUUGCACAAUGGGGGAAACCCUGAUGCAGCGACGCCGCGUGAGUGAAGAAGUAUCUCGGUAUGUAAAGCUCUAUCAGCAGGGAAGAAAAUGACGGUACCUGACUAAGAAGCCCCGGCUAACUACGUGCCAGCAGCCGCGGUAAUACGUAGGGGGCAAGCGUUAUCCGGAUUCACUGGGUGUAAAGGGAGCGUAGACGGCCAUGCAAGCCUGGAGUGAAAGCCCGGGGCCCAACCCCGGGACUGCUCUGGGAACUGUGCGGCUGGAGUGCGGGAGGGGCAGGCGGAAUUCCUGGUGUAGCGGUGAAAUGCGUAGAUAUCAGGAGGAACACCGGCGGCGAAGGCGGCCUGCUGGACCGCGACUGACGUUGAGGCUCGAAAGCGUGGGGAGCAAACAGGAUUAGAUACCCGUGUA
rnacentral:rRNA from 1 species